ensembl:snRNA U6 U6 spliceosomal RNA
GUGCUUCCUUUGGCAGCACGUAUACUAAAAUUGGAACAGAGAUGAUUAAUAUGACCUCUGAGCAAGGAUAAUAAAUCCAAAUUUGUGAAGAGUUCCAUAUUUUU